UGGCAGAGUUCAUAACACACAACAGCAAAACCAGCCUCUUCCCACUCUCGAGAAUCCAAAAUACCCUCAACAUAAAACUGACCACACUUCAUAACCAUCUAUUACAUACAUAACUCCUACUCCAUAACCACCUGACAAUUAAAAAUAACUGCAAGUUCCCAUAACCACUGAUCAUCCUAUCUACUUAGAAUUAGAUGAAACCCCUGUUUCACAAACACUAAGACUCCCUACAUUUCCCUUUUUACCCUUACGUUAGUCUUGAAAUAUAACCGGGAGCCUAACAGAUGCCCAAUUUGUUAUACAGAUAAUCUAAUGCGUGCUCCAUUUAACUUUUUUUUGAAGAUAUCUCUUAACUCUUCUCCG
rnacentral:misc_RNA from 1 species